GGCAGUAUCGCAACCAAAAGCUGCAGCAAAGCCAGAACAGGAGGACGUGCAUUAAGAAAUAAACUCAUUAUAGUUGGUGUUACUGCUGUAGUCGUUAGUGGAGCAAUAGGACUGCUGCUUUCUUGUAAGAUCAAAUCACGGAGGCGAAUAAUUGGAUUA